rnacentral:lncRNA from 1 species
UUUUAUUUAUUUAUUUGAUAGAAAGAGAAAGCACAAGCACAGGGAGUGGCAAGCAGAGGGAAAGGGAGAAGUAGGAUCCCCAAGGAUCAGGGAGGGGCAUGUGGGACUCAGUCCUAAAAUCCUGGGAUCAUGACCUGAGCUGAAGGAAGAUGCUUAAACCAACUGAGCCAUGCAGGCGCCCCUGUUAAAUCUUUAUUUUAAUUUUCUUUAUAUUAUUACUUUUAUGAAGUACAUAUUAAUUGUGAAAUACAUAUUAAUUUAGAUUUACUUAUGCAUUUACCUUUCCCAUUUCUCCUCAGCAUAUGAGGUCCUGACUUGCCUAUUUUGCUCUUUUCUUUAAUGUUGACAGCACUGUAUUAAGACACAAAAAAAAAAGAGAACAAAGAGUUGAAGAGGCGAUGGGAUUCAAGAGAGCGCUAUUAAUAAUGAAAUUUUUCUUUGCCAGGCCCUGGAAUCUUAAUUUUGCCCCCUUAAUCCAGCAAGUCUGUUAAAAACUCUUCUUAGCUUCUUGGAGUUUCUCACGCAGUCUUCUUUUCACUAUGGCAACAGAUAACGGGUUUCUAGUUGGAAGUUACCCUGAAGGAUAAGCUAAUUUCUCUGGGCCUUUCUUCCCUGAUGGACCUUGGACUCACAAGUCCUCAUGAUGUUGGUCGACUGCUAACGCCUUCAAAGAGAGUCUUUAAGAAGAUACUUUAAAGAUUGUGUCCAGCUUGUCCAGUUGUUAAAUGAGAGAAGACUGGUUUGAGUCAUCUACUCCGUCAUUGCCAGAAAUAAAACCAUAAAGAAACUGUCAUGCACUCCCCUGAGUAAUGGUUAUCUGAUGUUGAAGAAAACUGACACGUCUUAGCACCCUGUAAUGAUACUUACUAAGACUUGGCCCUGCAUUUGUUUAUUUUACCUACCUUGCUUUGCAUGCCUAUAAAGAAGUCAUUGUGACCACUGAAGCAUUAAUGGCCCACAGCACCAAGCAUGCUUGCACCAGGUUUGGAAAUGCCCAUCUUAACCACCUUCAUUCUUAUGAAGACUGUAUCCUUUUCCAUUCAGUUAUAUUAAAUGUAUGCUCCCCCCCCCCAAAAAAAAAACACUUAAAAAGAAAGCCAGAGAGGCAGUAUGUGGGCUUUUCCUGUUAUGACCCUAUUUCCAAAGGAUGGGUGGCUUUUUUCGUUUAUAGAUGGCCUUUUUAAAUUUUACAUGCCAGAGGAAUUUAACUGACCAUGGAUUUACUUGCAUAGCAAGCCUGACAUAGAUCAUGGAACACAUAAUGGUCUUCUUUUUUGAUGAUGGUCCCAUAUUUUUACAAAGAAAAAUGCAAAAACUAGACUACUC